AAUAGUCGCUCCCAUGUCCAGUAUCAGCUCAUUUUAUUUUAUUGUUGCCAUUCUACGCGCAAAAUAUUUGUCCUAUUUUCUCUACUAAAAUGUAAAAUCGUCUCGCUCUGAAACGAAGCCAAUAUGGUCACGUUUUACAUACUGAAAUUAUUGAAUGUAACAAGUUGAUAAAAAUAUAUAGAUAAUAUCUUUCAUAUGUUUUAAAUUGUUGGCU